ACUGCAGUAUAAGCACUUCUGG
rnacentral:miRNA from 2 species